GGAUGUGAGGGCGAUCUGGCUGUGACAUCUGUCACCCCAUUGAUCACCAGGGUUGAUUUGGAUAAUCUGGGUGGCCUAGGGGGGUAUCCCCUUCCUCCCUCACCGCUCCAUGUGCAUCCCUCCCAAAGCUGUGCACUCGGUUGAAGAGGACGACCAUCCCUGCUAGAGGAAGACUGGUCUUCGGUCUAGGGUAUAUGAGUAACUGCACUCCCCUGCUAGAACCUCCAAACAAGCUCUCAAAUAAUUAAUUAAUUAAAAUGUUCAUUAUUGUUGUUGCUUUUUAAAUUUUAGAAGGGGCCAGCGUUGUGGUAUAUAGAGUAAGGCUGCCACCUGCAGAAGUGGCAUCCCAUCUG
ensembl:misc_RNA 7SK 7SK RNA